UACAGAGGGGGCAAGCGUUGUUCGGAAUUACUGGGCGUAAAGGGCGCGUAGGCGGCCUGUUAAGUCGAACGUGAAAUCCCCGGGCUCAACCCGGGAACUGCGUCCGAUACUGGCAGGCUUGAAUCCGGGAGAGGGAUGCGGAAUUCCAGGUGUAGCGGUGAAAUGCGUAGAUAUCUGGAGGAACACCGGUGGCGAAGGCGGCAUCCUGGACCGGCAUUGACGCUGAGGAGCGAAAGCGUGGGUAGCAAACAGG
rnacentral:rRNA from 1 species